AGAGUUUGAUCAUGGCUCAGAUUGAACGCUGGCGGCAGGCCUAACACAUGCAAGUCGAGCGGUAGAGAGAAGCUUGCUUCUCUUGAGAGCGGCGGACGGGUGAGUAAUGCCUAGGAAUCUGCCUGGUAGUGGGGGAUAACGUUCGGAAACGGACGCUAAUACCGCAUACGUCCUACGGGAGAAAGCAGGGGACCUUCGGGCCUUGCGCUAUCAGAUGAGCCUAGGUCGGAUUAGCUAGUUGGUGAGGUAAUGGCUCACCAAGGCGACGAUCCGUAACUGGUCUGAGAGGAUGAUCAGUCACACUGGAACUGAGACACGGUCCAGACUCCUACGGGAGGCAGCAGUGGGGAAUAUUGGACAAUGAGCGAAAGCCUGAUCCAGCCAUGCCGCGUGUGUGAAGAAGGUCUUCGGAUUGUAAAGCACUUUAAGUUGGGAGGAAGGGUUGUAGAUUAAUACUCUGCAAUUUUGACGUUACCGACAGAAUAAGCACCGGCUAACUCUGUGCCAGCAGCCGCGGUAAUACAGAGGGUGCAAGCGUUAAUCGGAAUUACUGGGCGUAAAGCGCGCGUAGGUGGUUUGUUAAGUUGGAUGUGAAAUCCCCGGGCUCAACCUGGGAACUGCAUUCAAAACUGACUGACUAGAGUAUGGUAGAGGGUGGUGGAAUUUCCUGUGUAGCGGUGAAAUGCGUAGAUAUAGGAAGGAACACCAGUGGCGAAGGCGACCACCUGGACUAAUACUGACACUGAGGUGCGAAAGCGUGGGGAGCAAACAGGAUUAGAUACCCUGGUAGUCC
rnacentral:rRNA from 1 species